UUCAGAAAAGUUUGACAACACAAGGAGAUGAGAGGGACUCAAGUGGAUGUUCAGAUGCGGGUCCAGCAACUUCAAAACCCUAAGGAGAUAAACUCUGCCAGGGAGAAGUCGAAGGCAACAAGCAUCACUGAACAAAAAUAUUGGCCCUGAACCAGGACUCAGCUUAAUGGAACAUCCCGGAGCAUGUAAUAUAAUCUUCUCUCUCCAUCCAGGCUCCAGACAUACCCUCCCCCCAUUUCUGGCGUGGAAAGAUCCUCAACUGCUGUUAGCCCAACAUCAUGGAGAGCCUGUUCGCUGGAGCGGAAACUCUGGACCCCUUCCGCUACAUCUGGUUGGAAUUCCGCUUAAGACAGCCUAAAAGGAGCAGAAGAGAAAGAGGGUGAAGACCAAGACCAACGACAAGGGGGAGAAAACCAAGGUGUCCUGAGCACCCAGUGGCUGGCAAGCUUCUCCUGAGUCCUUGAUGGAGUGUCGGGCUCUGUCCUCUGGUAACUCACUAAGUGACCACAGGUGAGGUGCUUAACUCACCAAGCGCCAUUUCCUCAUCUUUAAAAUAGGACCAAAAACCACACCUCCGUGCGUGGAAUUGCUGAGACGUUUAAGCAAGAUACUGAACAUCAAAUGAUGGGCCCAGUGCUGGCCCAAGCUUGGUAUUCAGUAAAUGCCACUGAUUAAUAUUGUGUCCUUUAAUCCUCUUAACAAUUCUGUGGCGGAAGGGUUAUUCCAUUUCACAGAUGAGCAAAAUGAGGCAUAGAUUCUACAGGAGCUUGUCCAAGACCGUAUAAGCUUUGUUAUUCAUGGCCCCCCAUCUCCCUGGUAGAUAGCAGCCUCUACACAGAAUUUCAGAAGCCUGUGAUUUUUUGAUAUAUGAGCAAAGAAGUAAUGUAGUUACCCCUAUAUCUACCCCUGGGUUGUGGGGUCUAACUUUACCCUUGGCAGGUGGGGACAGCUCAGCCCAGGCAGCAAAGAGAAACUAAUCUUGAUAAGUAGACCAUCAAGUCUUUCCCCAAACCACCAACAGUGGGCUUUCCCACCCCAGGGCUUGGUGGAGAAAAUGCCCUCCUGUGCCUGUGAGAUUCCAAAACCCCCGAUAAAGGGAGUCACCUGGCUGUAAUUGUUUCUUGUUUAAUUUUACAUCCAGUGUGAAUAGAGUCAAGGUCCGGGCCAGCGUACUUCAAAUACCCAAGUUAUUGUUUCACAUAUUGUGGUUCAGUUACUUUGGCAUAGCAAGGAUAGGCUGCAAUAUUUAAGUCCUGGGCUCAUUGUAAACAAAGGAAAUCCAUCAAAAGUGGAAUAUCUCAUGAGAAAUCCUUUCCAGGCUUUCAUUAUUGACUACAAAGGAUAAAAAUCUUUUAGCUCACUGAUGGCUUGCUGUCCUGUACACAUUUACAGUGAGGUGACUAUUUUGUUCAGUUGAAGGCUUAUAUAUCCUCAGAAGCACACCCAUUGAAAUAGUGGUUGUUAAAUAUGUGUGGGGAUCUCUGAGGCCCUUGAGUGUCACUUGGCUUAGCAUCCAGCCCCAACACAGUGCCAGAGAGAGGAGAUGUUGUUAAAAUGUCACUUCCAGACAUCUGAGUUCCUGGCUACUGAAUGGAUAUUUUGUCAAGCAACUGCUUCCAUUUUAAAAGCUCUGAGUUAGGAGGCCAGAGACUUUGCUCCCUUCUGGUUUUACAAACUCAGCAUGGAGCCUUGGGUUCAUGGCCUAACCUCUCUGUGCCUCUUUUUAGCCAUCUGUAAAGUGGCACUAGUAACAGUCCUUCUCAUCUCUCAGGGCUUGUAUUUGUCAGGGUUCUCCAGCAAAACAAAACUAGUAGGAUAAGGAGUAAGAGAAAGAGAGAGGAAGAGAUUUAGUUUAAGGAAUUGGCUCACACAACUGGGGGAAUUGGCAUGUCUGAAAUCCAUGGGGCAGGCCAGCAGUCUGAAAAUUCAAGUAAGAGUUGACAUUGCAGUCUUGAGUUCAAAUUGCUCAGGGCCACAGACUGGAAACUCAGGAAGGGUUUCUACGUUGCAGUCUUAAGGCAGAAUUACUUCUUCAGAAAUCCUCAAUCCAAUUUGCUCUUGAGGCCUUCCACUGAUUGGAUGAGACCCACCCAGAUUAUGGAGAGUAAUCUGCUUCACUUAAAGUCAACUGAUUAUAAAUUACUCACAUCCACAAAUACCUUCACAGCAGCAUCUAGACUAGUGUUUGAUCAAACAACUGGGCUCGAUAACCUAGCCUAGUGGACACAUGAAAAUAACCAUCACAGGGCUACGAAGUUCACAUCAACUGGGGUCAUACAUGGGAAAGAAAUGUCAAAGAUAGGAAGAAUUGCACAAAUAUUCGUUUUUUCAUAAACAUUGAACCCCUGUGUCACGUGAGGCUUUGAGGAACGUGGAGACGAAUAAAGCCCUCGAUUUGUCCA
rnacentral:lncRNA from 1 species